AUGAGAAUUCCUACAACUUGGCUGGACGGUACAGAAUCCUUGCAAAUGAACAACAUCCAGUGCCUGACAAAGCCCUACUCUCAGACAUCUGUCACCUCUUGGGCAGGUCCCAGCACACCCCCAGGCCUAACUCUCCUACACUGUAAAAGGGGUUGUCUACGUGCACAAAGGCAAGAUCAAGGCCUCUUCCCAUUACUGAGGGGCCUGAUGGCAGAAUUAAGAACAUGCCCUGUGGGAAGCCGGGCUGGCCCCCAUGGGUUUCUUCUGAGCUCUAAGAAGGGAAGGCUAGUUCCAGUCAUUACAAGCUAAACAUUCAGAUACACACACUGAGACUGUAGACUUAUCCAGACU
rnacentral:lncRNA from 1 species